rnacentral:rRNA from 1 species
AUGAAGACCCAAUAUAUGGAUGUGGACACCUCAAGUACGUCUCGUGGAAGAGGCAAGAAUAAAAGGAAGUGGACUUCAGAUGAGGAUGAUGAACUUAUUAAAGCCUUGUAUGAGUUGUCUUUGGACACAAGGUGGAAGGCAAAUGGUAGCUUCAAAAAUGGAUACCUAGUGGUAUUGGAGAAGCACCUUGCUGAAAAGUGCCCGGGUUGUGGUAUCUUUGCAAUUCCACACAUCGAGUCAAGAGUGAGGCACUUUAGGACAAAAUUUGGUGCUCUUGAAGUAAUGUUAUCCAAAAGUGGUUUCACAUGGGAUGGAAACCGGAAGAUGAUUCAAUGUGAGAAGGCACAUUAUGAAGCACAUUUGAGGCAAAGGGAUUAUGGUGUCCCAUUUCCAUACUUUGAGCGGUUGGCUGCUAUUUAUGGCAAGGACAUAGCAACUGGAGAAAAUGUUGAAGGCUUUGCAUCAUUGUCAGCAUCAAUGGCACGAGAAGCAGCGCAAGAGGAUCCUCAGCAGAAAUCAAAAGAGAAGGCUAUUAGUGAAUUGGCUAGGCUUAGCUUUACUGCGAGCGAGAUCGUUGAGGCUGCAACCGUAUUUGCUAAAGCUCCAGAUCAGAUGAACAUGAUGCUUGCGCUUCCAGAAAAUCUGAGGAGGGAGUAUGUCCCAAAAAUGCUCUCCGGUAUC